CCACAUGCCUCGAUGCAUGCGCAUAACAGUUCCUAGACAGACUCUAUUAAAGAAGAGCCAUUGAUCUCACUCUAAGUUUCUGUCCAUCUGUCUGAAAUAAAAACUCCAAAGAGAAGCUGUGAAAGAGGGAGAGUGAGCAUGUUUCUAUGGAGGCAAUAUACUAUAUCUGGAAAAUUCAAAUUCCUGGAGCAUCGGGUGGAGGAGGCCCUCAAAAGGUUCAGAGACCAAACAUCCCAGAAGCUAAAGGGGGACACUCUUUGUUCUUUGGAAUGCAACGGUGAAGGAGGAAGAAAAGAUGCUGAGGGAAGAAGCGGAGUUUGAUGCUGAGAAGUGACAAGAGCUGCAACUCUGAGGUGUUCAACCCCUUUGAUGCCUGACAUUUAGGAUGGGAGUAGGGCAAGAUCCAGGUGUGAAAUCUUGGUUCCACUGAAGUCAAUGGGAGUUUUACCAUUGAUUUCACUGGAGCCAGAAUUUCAUCCCAGGUGCCCAUCCCUGAGAUGUUUUUUUUCAGAUGUGAUAUCGAUGUCUUGCCUUUCUCUCAGAAAGAUGUUACAGUAGAUUCUGCUAGUUAGCAAGCCCUUGGUGGAUGGGCCAAAAGUUGCCAUUAGCUGGCAGUUGCCAAUAAGCAAAAGACAACCUGCCUGUGUCUGGGGCUUUCCAUGGCGAGUGGGGCCCUGGGAUAUGCAGAACCCAGGCCCCUGCUGCCAGGGCAGGACGCAGCCUGGACAGUGCAGGAAGAAAUACUGUGAAGCCCCGUGGGCCACCAAUGCCCCCAUUCCCCACGGAAAGUGCUGGCAUCCUGGCAGUCACACCCUCCUCAUUCCCCCCCCACACCCCGCCCGGCUGCUGUCCUGCCUGCAACCUACCCUAGGGCCCGGGCUCUGCAUGUCCCAGUGCUUCUGCUCCUUUGAGCAGACCCACAAACCUGGCCUGCCCCUGGGGCAUAUCACAUGGAACGGGGGCUGGGGAGCCCAUGGGGCAGCAGGAAAAGAAACUGUCCAUAGCUGGCAUUUCUGCUGGCGAUAUUCAGACCAAUUAGCAUUAUAGUGAAUUGGACAGUGUCCAUUCCAGACAAAAUGUUUCUGUUAACCAAAGUUGUUAUCAGGAUUGUGAUUAAGUGGCAUUUACUGUAAAUGCAACAUUACUUGUCACCCAUUCUUUUUGUCACUUAAAACCAUAUUUUGUAUGUUUUGGUGUGGGGGGGAACAAUAAAAAGGUAAUUUAAUGAA